UACGUAGGGUGCAGGCGUUAAUCGGAAUUACUGGGCGUAAAGCGUGCGCAGGCGGUUUGCUAAGACAGGUGUGAAAUCCCCGGGCUCAACCUGGGAACUGCAUCUGUGACUGCAUCGCUGGAGUGCGGCAGAGGGGGGAUGGAAUUCCGCGUGUAGCAGUGAAAUGCGUAGAUAUGCGGAGGAACACCGAUGGCGAAGGCAAUCCCCUGGGCCUGCACUGACGCUCAUGCACGAAAGCGUGGGGAGCAAACAGGAU
rnacentral:rRNA from 1 species